UUUUCUUGAGUGGGUAAAGGUAGAAGGUAAACCCUAGAAAAACCCCACAGUUUGGCCAGAAAGGCGGAUCAUGAAUUUCGCUGAGUCAGUGGCUGGGGGGACAUCUUAGCGCGUGACACCUGUUCCUGUUGUGGCCUUUUGGUAACCAUAGCAACAACAUCCACGCCGCUAGAAAAUAAAGAAACUACUUUCUUACUCGAUUUUAGAAACAAAACUCGUAGUUCUGCAACUUUGAACAACAAAAAAAAGAGCUAAAAAAUCUUCAGAUUUUUUUCUUUCUUUUUUUUUUCGUCAGGUGUUUGAAAAUGUUCAAAAACAACUACCAGGGUGGAGCUGUGUUUGAGCUCUUCAGCGGCCACGGAAAGGACCCGGUGGGCAAAUGGAAACUUUAUGGAGGACCUCUGGCUAUAUAUAAAGAGUAUAAUAAAGAAGUUAAAGGAUUUGUUUACUGUCUGGAGGGGAGCAGCCAGACUGUCAAGAUGCAAAUUCCAGAGAAUGGAAAAAUGUCUCUUGGGCUCAUCCAGAGAUUCUUGGUGCUUCAAGUGAAUAUUCCCCUUGACCAUGACUUUUCCACUGAGCUUGUAAUAACGGACUCAGACCAUCAAAAACGGAGACUUCACCUAUCAACGGUGCACAAACAAUUGUCUGCCACGAUUUGGCAUGCCAGGAUUCCAUUCAUCGGACUGAAGCGCAACACUUGGUCUACCCUGUGCAUUGACCUUGUAUCAAUGGCGAGUGAACUGUUCAAAGGAUUUUUGACCCUGGAUGGCAUCACGCUGUUUGCUACCUGUAAAGUCAGGAGAAUCUUCACUAUGAAAGAAGAGCCUUCAGCAAUGUCAAGAGAUGGUACGUUCCUCAGCGUAGCUAGUCUCAUGGAUAUCAUUCCUCACAAUUUCCUGUACCCGGCGUCCGUCAACCAAACCACACAGGUGUUGAACAGCGACAUUUUGCAUAUGGGGGUGAAGAAGAGUGGUCCUUGUAACUCAGACUGUGUUCUUGAUCAGUCUCCCACUGCCAGAUCAACCGGUUAUCAGAGAACCAGGCCCCAGGGUGCAACACGCACAGCCUCAGGCUUCAGAGCUUCAGCACUGUCUCCUCAAGCUGUCUUUUUGAUUAUCCCACAGCAGAGCACGUCGAGUGGAAUGAACCAUAAAGUUGCAUCACAAAGUCAAUCAGGCACCAAUCUGAGUGAAAAGCUGCCUCAUGGAGCAUCUUGCAAAUUACAAUCCCACACCCAGAAAAAGGGGGUUUUCAGCAAAACAGGAUGUAAGAGGCUUCAGGUCCCCAGUGCCAGGAGAGAGACGCUACCUUCAUCAGCAGAAACUCCUCCAGGUGAGGAGUCUGGAGCCCAAAGAAAGACAAAGUCCAGGAUAAUUAAGGACGAGAGGGUUAUCCAGUCCAGGCAGCAAAUAAGUGGACAGGAAUCUUCGACAUCAACAGGAAAUUCACUGCUUCCUGCAUCAGAUGCAUGUAGCAACAGCCGCGACAAUGAAAGCUCAGGAGUCACCACCAAACCAGCAGAGUGUGAACUCUUCUCAAUCCUCCCAGACUCCUCUUCUGACCCGCAGCUCUGGAACAACAGUGAGAGUUAUGAGGGGUAUGAACCCCAGCUCACCCUGCAAGAGGAGGAUUUCAUUUUCUCAUCCCAGCCUCGCUCAUCCAAAUGGGGGCAAGGCCAGGUUGACCAGGAGAAGAUGAAUACGGCCGACGAUCUGCUCCAGACUGAGAGGCAGUUUCACACGCAUCUUGAAGACGACUUUAUUGGCAGUGAAAGUGAUGAGGAAGAAAACUCCACCUUCCAGGAUGAAGGAAAUGGCGUGUCCUUUUCUGUUACUCCCAGAAGUCCUAGCAAAGCUCAUCAGAUGCCUCUAGAGGGUUAUCAUGAAUGUCCUCCCAUGAACCAAACGUCUUCACCACAGCUGAACUUACCUAACACACUCCUGCCGUCUGAGCGUUGUGGAAGAGCCGAACCAGCUGGGAUGGUGCCCAUACGCUGCCUGUCUCCUAACAGACUAGACUGUAGUUUAGAGGAAAGGACUCAGGUUGUUGAUGAGAACAGUUAUGUUUCGUUGUGUAGUACGCUCCUGCGAGAAGUCAAGUUGGACGACUCCAUUCAGCAUGAGGAAGUUGGAGACGCUAAGACGACUGUUGAUUCUACUCCUAAUCCCUCACAACUGUCCGUCUGUCUAAAAAUUCAUGAAGAUGAGGAUAAUGAUGAGGAAGAGCUUCAAAUGCUGGCAAUCCUGAAAAGCGAGCAAGAGAAAGAUGACAGUAAACACCUGGGCCUCAGUGCAUCCCAAAUCCGCCAGUGUAAUGUCAGCGUCAGCCUGAGCAGUGACAGCGCUUCGACCAGAACCAGCAUCUGCACGCCGAGAGUGGAUGGACGUGCUUAGCCCUCCUAUUAUGCCUCCUAGCCCGCAGAGAAGGUCAGGCAACACAUGGAACAAUCUGAAAAGUCUAGUCAGAGAAGAAGUGAAAGAAGAGAAGGACGAGGAGGAAUAUCUGAACCUGUUGUAUGAUCCUUGUCUGAACUGCUACUUUGAUCCAGAAACUGGAAAGUACUAUGAACUCGCCUGAAAGGAUUUUCAGGUUUUGUUUUUUUUUUUUUUUGCCUUUUUAUAUUAAUCAAUUUACUGGUAGCUUUGUGUUAUUGUAUGAAAUGUUUGACUGGAAUGUAAUAAAAUACACACACUUCACUGGCUCAUUAACAUGUUAGCUUUUUUAUUUAUGUAUUUGAUUUUAUGUUAUAAAUUAAAUGAAGAAAUGUAAAUGUUUUUAUCUGUACUGGCUUAAUCACAAUUUGCUUGUCGAUGUUAUGCUUUUUGUUUGGGUUUUUCCUCUCACACGAUUCAAUACGCAUCUCAGUACAUUUAGGAUUCAACUUACUUUACAAAAUACUCAAAAUCUAGAUGUUUCUUAUUCAUAUGGCAUUUAAAGCUUUAAAUAAUAAUUCAUUGCAUUAGACAGAGAAAUGUAU